ensembl:lncRNA
CUUAAAGGAGAGGUGUAUAAAUCAUCUGUCAUAGAGUUAGUCUGAUGCCUUAAAGGAGAGGUGUAUAAAUCAUGUCAUAGAGAUAGCCUGGAGCCUUCAAGGAGAGGUGUAUAAAUCAUCUGUCAUUGAGUUAGUCUGGAGCCUUAAAGGAGAGGUGUAUAAAUCAUCUGUCAUAGAGUUAGUCUGAUGCCUUAAAGGAGAGGUGUAUAAAUCAUCUGUCAUUGAGUUAGUCUGGAGCCUUAAAGGUGAGGUGUAUAAAUCAUCUGUCAUAGAGUUAGUCUGAUGCCUUAAAGAAGAGGUGUAUAAAUCAUCUGUCAUAGAGUUAGUCUGAUGCCUUAAAGGAGAGGUGUAUAAAUCAUCUGUCAUUGAGUUAGUCUGGAGCCUUAAAGGUGAGGUGUAUAAAUCAUCUGUCAUAGAGUUAGCCUGGAGCCUUAAAGGAGCGGUUUAUAAAUUGGACUUGACAUGGAUCUUAUGAUGCCAUGGAGAAUCAGGAAGAGAGAGGGCAACACCCAUGUAUGUCAAAGUCACAGGGUGGGUGACAUAGUGACAUGAUCCUUCAAAACAGUGACACAGUGACAAGAUGAUGAGCAUCCCAGUCAGAUUCUCCACACUGUCUGCCCUGUCUGUGGUUUAAGAUAACAUUAGUUCACCACGCUGUCUGAGAGAGAGAGAGAGAGAGAGAGAGAGACGCAGGGAGAAAGAGGCAGAGAGAGAGAGAGACGCAGGGAGAAAGAGGCAGAGAGAGAGAAAAACAGAGAAAGAAAGGCAGAGAGAAAAAGAGGCAGAGAAAGAGAGAAGUAGAGAGAGAGGGGCAGAGAGAAAAAGAGAGAGAGGCAGAGAGAGAGAGGCAGAGAAAGAGAGAGAGAGAGAGGCAGAGAGAGAGAGAGGCAGAGAGAGUGAGAGAGGCAGAGAAUGAGAGGCAGUUCACCAGAGAGAGAGAGAGAGAGAGAGAGAGAGAGAGAGAGAGAGAGAGAGAGAGAGAGAGAGAGAGAGAGAGAGAGAGAGAGAGAGAGAGAGAGAGAGAGAGAGAGAGAGAGAGAGAGAGAGAGAGAGAGAGAGAGGCAAAGAGAGAGAGAGAGAGAGAGAGAGAGAGGCAGGCAAAGAGAGAGAGAGCCGCAGGGAGAAAGAGGCAGAGAGAGAGAGAAAAACAGAGAAAGAAAGGCAGAGAGAGAAAAAGAGGCAGAGAAAGAGAGGCAGAGAGAGAGAGAGAGGCAGAGAGAGAGAGAGGCAGAGAGAGUGAGAGAGGCAGAGAAAGUGAGGCAGAGAGAAAGUGAGGCAGAGAGAGAGAGAAGAAGAGACAAAGAGAAGCAGAUAGAGAGGCAGAGAGAGAGAGAGGCAGAGAGAGAGGCAGAGAGAGAGAGAGGCAGCGAGAGAGAGAGGCACAGAGAGAGAGAGAGGCAGAGAGAGAGGCAGAGAGAGAGGCAGAGAGAAAGAGAGGCAGAGAGAAAGAGAGGCAGAGAGAAAGAGAGGCAGAGAAAGGGAGAGAGAGGCAGAGAGAGAGAGAGAGAGUGAGAGAGGCAGAGAGAGAGAAGCAGAGAGAGAGACAGGUAGAGAGAGCAGUUGAAUGCAAGUUUCAGUUGCUCUUCACCAACUUCCUCCUGCAGCCAACGCCUGCACUUUGGGAGGCUCUAUUUAACCAAUAAGGGCCGAGGAAGUGUGGAAUAUGGGCAAUAUACCACGACUGACGGCUGUUCUUAGGCACCACACAACACGGAGUGCCUGGAUACAGCCCUUAGCCGUGGUACAUUGGGCACAUUCCACA